AGGCUCCGUGGUGUACCGCACGUAAGAUUGCAAAUCUUAAGAAGCGAGAUGAAACUCGCCGGGGCUUC
rnacentral:tRNA from 1 species